rnacentral:lncRNA from 1 species
ACUACCGUAUCAAAAGUUGCUGGAUGUGUGAACGGCACUGAUCUCCACCGUCCGUUUCUCUGAGGUUCAUUAUCUACAUUGACGAAUAAUCUCACCUCCUUUUUCCUCUGCUCAAUUUCAUCGAACACAGAGUGUAUAUACUGAAGGUAAGGCUGUAGAAUUCGACGCUUAUCCUUUUUCCUAAUCUUCAUAACAAGCGAUUUCAAACCAGUAAAUUCAUUCUUUUCAUUGAUCCAGAAAACUCUAGCGCUGAGGAAUUUGUCAACAACAAUCUGAUUUGAAUCCAAAACGAGGCUAAUUUCAUUGGACUUAUCGCCGGAGAUUAGGUUGGUGAAAUCAGAAUCUUCAACACAGGGGAGCGAAUUCAGAUAAGUACAAACUUUUCGAUACAAUUGAUUUUCCUGCAUGUUGUGAUUGAAUUGCGGUACCCUGUAGAACUGAUAGACAUAACAACCAUCCUCCAAAAACCUCCACCAUUUUUUCACAAUUUGCAGUAAAGAAGUUUUCAACAGAAUCUUCAGAAACAAACCUGAAGCAAUUAUUGCAAUCAAAUACCAAAACAUGAUUGGAAAAAAAAAGAAGUAAAAAUCAAACAGUGUAAUGAAGUAUGAUGAUGGAAAAGAGAAUUUGAGGGGAAAAUGAUGAUGAGAAGGUGGAUGAAAUCAUGAAGGAUGUUGUAAUAAUGAAAGUAUAUUAUAUACUAAUAUAAAGUAAUGAGAAAAGCAUAAAGAAAUGAGUAUAGUAUAAAUAAAUUUAAGGGGAUGGGGAAUUGGCAGGUCACAGAACAUUAAUUAUUUUAAUGAAUAAGUCUUUAUUAAUUUGUUUGUUUGAAUUUAAGAGACGGCUUGCAGACUGGGACGGCAUAAUUUGCUAGGUUUAAUUGGUCAAAUGAGAUUUAUUUUAUAUCCUAUUUUUUGUUUAAUGAUUUGUUUGUGGAAAUUGAUCUAUUAUAAUCGUAUUUGGUUAGAAAUUAGAAUUAUAGAGGCACUAAUUAUGUAAUAAUACACCAAUUCCUUUAUAACUUAUUCCAUAAGUAAUAUAUACUACAUUUAGUAGCGAGUUAUUAGGAUGCAAGUUAUUUAUGUACUUUUUUCGUUUGAGAAUAAGUUAUAUAUUUUUUUCUUUUUAUUCUAUCAAGAAGAUUUGAUUUUUUUCGUUCAAAAUUAUCCUUGUUUUAAUACAUGAAAUUUUACACCAUUAACUUAAAAGAGUCACUUCUUUUUCCCUUCAUUUUAUGAUAGGUAAGAUAGUAAAACACUUCUUAUUUUUAGGGGUGAGUAGUUUUUAUAAGCAACAUAUAAUAUGAGGAAAUCUAUGUUUUAUAUUAUACAACAUAUAAGGUGUCUUUAUAAAAUAAUACAUAAAUUUUAUCAUAAUUUAAUCCUACACUAUUACUAAUAUCGAUAUAACUUUAACCAGUGACCAAACUAUUCCUUACAAAUAAAAUAGAAAAAGAAGAAGUCAUUUCAAUCUUCUAUAUAUAAAAAUAAUUUUUUUAUUAUAUAUAGAAGUGAACGUUCUCUUAUGAAAAGGACAUAGAAUUAAAAAUAAAUUUUUAAAGGACCGGAGAACAAAAUCUUCCGUUUUCUUCGAUGUGCUGCUUAUCUGAGUAAACAAUUUGUACAUGUGAGACCAAUUAAGGUAAUACAAUAUUCUUUAUGACUAGUAAACAUACUAAUUAAUGUAUUCUAGAUUUCAUUAGUGAGGAGGACUAGAGAUUUAUUUCCUUGUGAUUUCCUAUUAAAAGGAGUAUAUUUUUCAAUCUUAAUUAUUCCAGGUGGUCAUAUUUGAUUUUGACCAAUAUAAUCGAAGCAUCGUUUUAUCCAUUUCAGCAGCAAUCCAUGUACAAAUUAAAAGUUGCGUUCAAUAUUCAAAUUGUUUUAUCCGCUUUAUUAUAUGCUUGUAUCCAUUUAUGUCUUUUACUGACAUUCUUCUUUCUCUUUUCCCAAUAAAAAUAAUGGAAUCAUUUACAGAUUCGUUUUCUUAUUUCUAUGCACGGGAGGGGGAAGACUGAAAGACAAAAAAGAAGAAGGUAUUUACAAAUUACACAUACUCAUAUUUAAUUUUCACUUAGCUGAAAAUGCAUAGAUGUCAAUUAAAAUAAUCAGACAUAAUAUAUUAAUGUGUCCUUUAACUUGACAUCAACUAAUAUUUAUGUUCCCUAAUUUUGAAUGUGCACAAGUAUGCACUUAAAUUUAUAUAAAAUUGAAUAAAUAGAUGCAUUCAUCCUACAUGAUAAUUUUGUCUACAUGACAUCUUACAUGUAUUAUGUCAUGUAACAUACGUGCAUCUAUUUGUUCAAUUUUAUACAAAUUUAAGUGUUAGGAUAUAUAGAUGUCAGCUGAAGUCAAGUUAAAAAAACUUAAAAUUUAUGUAUUAUGUCAAAUAAGUGUUGAAAACUUAAAAUGCAUAAGGUGUGUGUUAUUAUUAUGUUUGGUAUAAAUAUACUUAGUGUGAAGAAUAAGCAGAUGCGGGACUGUAGUAUUAGGCUAAAUUUGACGUUUGAAAUAAAAGAAUGUUUGGACAGUUUCAACCAUGAUAUAUUUUCAACAGCACCAAACUUUGUCCUACGACUUUUAAUACUUUGAAAUUAGAUCCAGUAGGUCUAAGUUCAACAAAAAAUAGUCUACUUGAAAAUUCGUCUACAUAAUAAAGAGUUUUCACGUUAUGUGAACUUUUUAUCUGGAAAUUAACGUGGAUGAGUAGUGUAUUCUUUUUGUUCUGUUUUUGGCCAAAUUAGGCGUCUUAAUGUUAAGACUGAAAGUCCUCCUCUCUUUUUUUUUUUCUUUUUUUUUUCAAUUUGGCCAUUUUGUAUUUGAAAUUAUUAAUUCGACUAAUUUAAUUUAGUGCCUUUACAUAUAAAAAUUUACUAAAUUCUAUACUAUAAAAUAAUGGCUAGAGCCUAGAAGCACACAGGUCUUUCUAGCCAUUAAAAUUCUAUUAAAGGGUAAUUUGAUCAUUUUGGUAUUAAAUUAUUAAAAAGGAAUUCUUAAUAAUUCAUAUAUUUAGAAAUUACGUAAAAUUAUAAAUCAUAAUAAUUAUAAUUAACAAGUUAAAAAGAUAUCUAAAAAAUAGUAAAACAUUUGAUUGACUUUCGAAAUUUCAUCACCACCACAUAAAUUGGAAUAAAGGGAGUAACAUAUAUUAUGUGAAAUUAACUUUAGAACUAUUAUAAAUUGAAAUAAUUAACAACUUAAAUAUCUAAAAACUCUAUAAAAGGUUUUUGAUUACUUUCGAAACUCCACUUAUACCACAUAAAUUGGUACAAAAAGAGUACCAUAUAUCACGUAAAAAUUACUAUAAAUCACAACUUAAAAUAUUUGGUUGACUCUCGAAAUUUCAUAUGUAUAUAGAACAGAUGGAUGGAGUAACAUAUAUUAUGUGAAAAUUGGAUAAAUUAUACUAUAAAAUCAUAAUAACCGACAACUUUAAACAUAUAAAAAUUUAAUCAACUUCACAUUUCAUUCGUGUCACAUACAUUUAACACAGAAUGAGUAAUUAUGAUCGCAGGCUCUGUAUCUAAUAGUUCUCCUAAAACAUGUUUAAAAGUAGUCCAUGUUCAGAACCUACUUGUCCAACCAUACUCAAGGUGAUAAGAUUCAAAUCAACUGACAUCUUUUUUACCCAAUAGCGAAGUCAGAGAUUUUGUUAAGAAUAUCCAAAUCUAAUAUAUAUGUAUGAAAAAUAAUUUUUGAUUAUAUUUCAUACAAAUUUUUAUAUAUAAUUUUAAUUUUUUCGAUUUGACCACCUUGAGUUUUAUGUGGCUAUGCUACUGUUUUUACCAUAAAGUAUUUUCCUGGUAAAGCAAGAAAACGAAAAUUGUUUAGUUGAUAUUUGCAUACAUCAUUGCAAGUACUAAAUAAGAUUCGGAUCAAUUGGUUUGGUGUGUCGUAGUAUUAAAGCUUUUUGUCCAGAGUCUUAUAACUGUUGCUUUGCAUUUGUACAUGAACACAGCAAUGAGUGCCACAGACUCACAGGGCCCAAGUAAUCCCAAAAGGCCAAAACUUAAAGAGGCAAAAGGACAUGACAAAGCAGAAGCAAGUUCAUUCUUCCCAUGCUGACAUUUCUUUUUGACAUUUUGAAUCAAACAUUGAUUAGCACUACAAAAAAUACCAACUAAUUUCAGGGGGGCGUUUGAUGGUGGAGAUGGGGGAUACAAUGGGUGGAGGUGAAGAUGAGGUGCCUUAGAGGAUGGGGAAGACACAAUCAAUGUAAACAUGUUUUUCCUACUUCAAAUAAGGGAGUCAUUUUCCUAAUUGUUAAGCAACUUCUUUUUUUUCCUGAAAAUUCUUUUUCUCCAUACCGAACACACCAUAAAAGAACAUGUAGACUCGAAUGAAG